CUACGUGCCAGCAGCCGCGGUAAUACGUAUGUCGCAAGCGUUAUCCGGAAUUAUUGGGCAUAAAGGGCAUCUAGGCGGCCAGACAAGUCUGGGGUGAAAACUUGCGGCUCAACCGCAAGCCUGCCCUGGAAACUGUUUGGCUAGAGUGCUGGAGAGGUGGACGGAACUGCACGAGUAGAGGUGAAAUUCGUAGAUAUGUGCAGGAAUGCCGAUGAUGAAGAUAGUUCACUGGACGGCAACUGACGCUGAAGUGCGAAAGCUAGGGGAGCGAACAGGAUUAGAUACCCUGGUAGUCCUAGCUGUAAACGAUGAUUACUGGGUGUGGGCAUGAAGAGUGUCCGUGCCGAAGCAAAUGCGAUAAGUAAUCCGCCUGGGGAGUACGGCCGCAAGGCUGAAACUCAAAGGAAUUGACGGGGACCCGCACAAGCGGUGGAGCAUGUGGUUUAAUUCGACGCAACGCGAGGAACCUUACCAGAUCUUGACAUCC
rnacentral:rRNA from 1 species